UCUUGAUCCUGAAUUGGAUUAGGCACUGCUGUAGUUGCUGGUGUUGAAUUUAGAACCAUAGCCAGACAUGGGACUGGAGGAUGAACAAAAGAUGCUGGCCGGGUUCAGAGACCCUGAGGAGGAGGAAGAGGAAGAAGAGGAAUUAGUGGAUCCCCUAACAACAGCGAGAGAGCAAUGUGAGCAGCUGGAGAAAUGUGUAAAGGCCCAGGAGCAGCUAGAGCUCUGUGAUGAGUGUGUAUCCUCUCGAUCACAUACAGAAGAGGACUGCUUUAUCUGAGCCUCAGACUGCACAGAGGAGCUCUUUGACUUCUUGCAUGCAAGGGACCAUUGCAUGGCUCACCAACACUUUAACAGCUUGAAAUAAAUGUGCAGACUUGUUCACCCCAGCCUUCAACACCUGGGCAUCAGGAUAUUUCCUUAUGGUUUUGAAUAUGCCAUUUGUUUCCAUUUGUGUAACUAAGUUCAUAUGAACCUCAUGGAUUUGGGCUUAGGCAAAUAACUUCUAUGUAAUUAGCAGUGAUUCCAUCUUAAUAAAGUUCUGUGACUU